GAUGAACGCUGGCGGCGUGCUUAACACAUGCAAGUCGAACGAAGCAUUUGCGACAGAUUUUUUCGGAAUGAAGUUGCUUAUGACUGAGUGGCGGACGGGUGAGUAACGCGUGGGUAACCUGCCUUGUACUGGGGGAUAGCAGCUGGAAACGGCUGGUAAUACCGCAUAAGCGCACAAUGUUGCAUGACAUGGUGUGAAAAACUCCGGUGGUAUAAGAUGGACCCGCGUCUGAUUAGCUAGUUGGUGAGAUAACAGCCCACCAAGGCGACGAUCAGUAGCCGGCCUGAGAGGGUGACCGGCCACAUUGAGACUGAGACACGGCCCAGACUCCUACGGGAGGCAGCAGUGGGGAAUAUUGCACAAUGGAGUAAACUCUGAUGCAGCGACGCCGCUUGAGUGAAGAAGUAAUUCGUGAUGUAAAGCUCUAUCAGCAGGGAAGAUAGUGACGGUACCUGACUAAGAAGCUCCGGCUAAAUACGUG
rnacentral:rRNA from 1 species